ACGCGGAGCCAAUCGGAACUCGCGGCGGGGUUGCUGGGUCUUCCAGGAUCGCGCAUGAGCGGACGUUGGCUACGGGUGGCCGGGCGGGAUGUAACCGGCUGCUGACCUGGCAGUUGUGUGUCCCCAGGCUUCGGCCCGGCCGCCGCCGCACAUAAACUGCGAGGAGGAGCUUUACGACUUCCCGGUCUUCGGGGCCGGGCGCAGCAAGGGCCAGACUCUGCGCUAGCAGGCGCUGCGCGCCAACCGGCCGGCCCCUGUCGCAGAAGGUGCAACCGAUCGCACUGUCGCGCAGAAGCUCCUCAAUGGCCAGCGCCAGCUGCAGCCCCGGCCGCCCACUCGCCUCACCUGAGCCUGGGUGGAACAAUCCAAAGUUUUAAUCAAAGAAGGUGGUGUUCGGUUGCUGCUUACAAUAGUUGAUACCCCAGGAUUUGGAGAUGCAGUGGAUAAUAGUAAUUGCUGGCAGCCUGUUAUCAAUUACAUUGAUAGUAAAUUUGAGGACUACCUAAAUGCAGAAUCGCGAGUGAACAGAUGUCAGAUGCCUGGUAACAGGGUGCAGUGUUGUUGAUACUUCAUUGCUCCUUCAGGACAUGGACCAUUACAUAACUGAAGACUCCCACCUUCAGGCAGGAUUGGGUAGUACAUGUUUGUAACUACCUGGCAUUGCCUUUUGUUGAGACUUAAACCAUUGGAUAUUGAGUUUACAAAGCAUUUGCAUGAAAAAGUGAAUAUCAUCCCACUUAUUGCCAAAGCAGACACACUCAUGCCAGAGGAAUGCCAACAGUUUAAAAAGCAGAUAAAGAAAUCUAAGAACAUAAAGUUAAAAUAUAUGAAUUUCCAGAAACAGAUGAUGAAGAAGAAAAAAAACUUGUUAAAAAGAUAAAGGACCAUUUACCUCUUGCUGUGGUGGGUAGUAAUACUAUCAUUGAAGUUAAUGGCAAAAGGGUCAUAGGAAGGCAGUAUCCUUGGAGUGUUGCUGAAGUUGAAAAUGGUGAACAUUGUGAUUUUACAGUUCUAAGAAAUAUGUUGAUAAGAACACACGCAGGACUUGAAAGAUGUUACUAAUAAUGUCCACUACGAGAACUAUGGAAUCAGAAAACUGGCAGCUGUGACUUAUCAUGGAGUUGAUAACAAGAAGAAUAAAGGGCAGCUCACUAAGAGCCCUCUGGCACAAAUGGAAGAAGAAAGAAGGGAGCAAGUAGCUAAAAUUAAGAAGAUGGAGAUGGAGCAGGUGUUUGAGAUGAAGGUCAAAGAAAAAGUUCAAAAACUGAAGGACUCUGAAGCUGAGGCCUUCGGGAAGUGUCGAGUCCGGGACGCCCAGCGCCGGCCGGAGCAGGUGGAAGGGAAGCGCAGCUCGGUCCGCGUAGGUGGAGGGGACGUGAAGCCUCCCUGAGGUGAUGGUCGAGGAAGGGCUCUACGGCUCCCAAGCUAGGCCAAAUGCCUUCAGCGGCCGCGCCCGGGCGCCCCUUCCCCUGUGGGGCAACCCUAGCCCGGGACGCGUGAACCACCUCCGUAGCCGCCCCACCAGCACCCCCAGCCGUGCGCCCCUGCACCAUGCAGCUGCCCUGCGCAUGGAGCCGCGAGGGACAGCAGGCCCAGCCCUCAGCACCACCUGCCUGCCAGGAGGUUCGGGAAACUGGCGCCGCAGCGGAGAGGGCAUCGGUCCAACGCCUCCCCCGAGGCUCAGCUGUGGGCUCCCAGGCAUAGGCACCCAUGACCCUUCUGUGUUGUUUGUCUUUGUAUAGUCUGCCAAUGUGGAUCCUGACUCCUGAGAGAAGUAGCUCACCGUGACGAAGCUGCCUUUGCUUUUAUCAAUUUGCAAAUCAAAGAAGGGGGACAUAUUGGGAGCAGGCCCCCCAAAAUCUGGCCAUAAACUGGCCACAAAACUGGCCAUAAACAAAAUCUCUGCAGCACUGUGACAUGCUCAUGACGGCCAUAACUCCCACGCUGGAAGGUUUUGGGUUUACCGGAAUGAAGGCAAGGAACACCUGGCCUGCCCAGGGCAGAAAACCACUUAAAGGCAUUCUUAAACCACAAACAGUAGCAUGAGCGAUCUGUGCCUUAAGGGCAUGUUCCUGCUGCAGAUAACUAGCCAGACCCACCCCUUUAUUUCCGGCCAUCCCUUCAUUUCCCAUAAGGGAUACUUUUAGUUAAUUGAAUAUCUAUAGAAACAAUGCUAAUGACUGGUUUGCUGUUAAUAAAUCCGUGGGUAAAUCUCUGUUCAGGGCUCUCAGCUCUGAAGGCUGUGAGACCCCUGAUUUCCCACUUUACACCUCUAUAUUUCUGUGUGUGUGUCUUUAAUUCCUCUAGCACCACUGGGUUAGGGUCUCCCCGACUGAGCUGGUCUCGGCACUUCUCUUUGCCUUGAAAGCAGUUACAGCGGACCUUCCUGGCAUCAGAAAAAGGCCUCCAGAAACAGAGACACAGGUACUAGCAAUUCCAAAUUAUCCAGAGCACUUCUAAAUUUGUAAGAUCUGAAGGAAAUGUCUGCCAUCUAUAUUCUCAGCCACACUUAGUUUCUUAAUCUGCAAGAUGGAAUUAAUAAUAGUACUUACUUUAUGAUGCUGUUGCAGAAAUUCAUUGAGUUGCUACACGCCAAACACUGAGAACCCAGCUGGGCAUAUAAUAAGCAUUCUAUUGCAUGGCAUUAUUGCCAUCAUUUUUACUUCUAUUACUGCUACUGCUUGUAACUGUUUGUACUUUUUUGAUAUGAAAGUCCACCAUCAGGGAGCACUGUAGUGGAAAAGGUAUUAGGCCAGGCAUAGCCUUUAGUUCUCUGGCCUUGGGUCCUUCAUCUGUGAUAUUCAGUUAACAAUACCUAGCCAGUAGGGGUGUUAAAGAUUAAAUAAAUGUGAGAAUGUACCUGUUGCUUAAUCUUCCUCAAAGGGUUAUGGACUCUCAGAGCCAGAAGAAGGUCAUCUCUCCUUUGCUCCUCGUAUGCUGGGAUCUGCCACAUCAAUGGCAACAGCUGGGCCUCCAGAAUUUGCUCCAGGGUGUUUGGAAGUCCUGACACCCUCCUGAUCUUCUCUGUAACAUGCACACUUUGGCCUGUGUCAGUUUGCUGGAACCACAUCAGGCCGGCCCUCUUCCUGGGACAAAAUUCUUUUUCUUUCUUUCUUUCUUUCUUUUUCUUUUCUUUUUCUUUUUCUUUCUGUUUCUUUCUCUUUCUUUUUCUUUCUGUUUCUCUCUCUUUUCUUUCCUUUCUCUUUUUCUUUCUUUCCUUCCCUUUCUUCCUUCCUUCCCUUUUCUUUUCUUUCUACUGUGACAUGAUCUUGGCUCACUGCAAUCUCUCUCUCCUGGGUUCAAGUGAUUCUACUGCCUCAGCCUUCAAAGUAGCUGGGAUUACAGGUUUGCACCACCAUGCCCGGCUAAUUUUUUGUAUUUUUAGUAGAGACAGUGUUUCACCAUGUUGGCCAGGCUGGUCUCCAUCACCUGAUCUCAGGUGAUCCACCCACCUCAGCCUCCCAAAGUGCUGGGACUACAGGCAUGAGCCACCACGCCUGGCCGAGAGACAGUUAAGUUAUACUUUAAAUGAUAAUAGGCCUCCCCCAAAACUCAGCUGCUUUUGUAAAGCUAAUGGGAGGCCAUCAGGCUGGGGGCAAGGAGGAGAGCCCGGAUCCUGCUAAGGUGCAGACAUAAACGAGUAUCAGCCAUUAUUCUGGAGGUUAUAAGAUAUGCACCUUCCCCAAUUACCCCUGCAAAUCACACCAUUAUUGUAGAUUGGCCCUUAGAGUAUCUUUUCAGGUUUUUUGGCAUGUCUGACACUCAUGGCUCUACUUGGACCCACCAACCCUGCUCCUAUGGCUCCACCCAGAAGCCAUUCAGCCUAGAGGACAGCUCUGACCCCCCUGUGAUUUCAUACAAUCAGCAGCAAGUAACUGUUACCUCACCAUCCCCACCCCUUCCGCCAGACUGCCUUUGAAAAACCUCUAACCUGUGAGCACGAGAUGAUUCCAGAACAAACUCUGUCUCCCAUGUGGCAUGACCAGCCUUCGGUCUCUUAAACUCUUUCUCUACUAUAAUGCCAUGGUCUUUAUGCAGCAGGCAGGAAGAAUUCAGGUGGUUACAAUUCCGUAUGUGCUUUUCGAUUAUUUUUCUACUGGGCUAUUGCUCUCUUCAUAAUGAUUUUUUUAAUUUCUCUCUAUAAGGAACUGAUUUCAUCUGAAAUUGAAGAGACAGAGAAAAACUAUAGACCACUCAUGAUGGUUGUUAUAUGUGCUUGGCUGGGCCAUGGGUCCCAGUGUUUGGCGAAACACAGUGGCAGAUGUCCCUCACACACAUGCCCUCUUGGUUCUGUUUCUUUGAAGAACCCCAGAAAAACACACAAAGGAAAAACAACUCGAUAGACAGAAGAUUCUUCAAUGACAACAAUGGAAGCCAUCUUCACCAUUCAACUAAACUUGAAUGGGAUAUUAUCAAACUUACUUAAAAAAAAAAAUUAUCAACUGAUCGUGUAAUCAGUUUUAUCUUUUAAGACAGGAGAUGAAAUAAAGUAUUUACAGAUGAAUGUAAAAUGAACUUAUCAUUGCAUCCUGAGCUACAGUAACUUCUGAGAGACCAAAAAAGCAAUACUGUCUCAGCAAGAUAUUCUAAGAUACAAGAAAGGCUAGUAAAAUAGAGAGUCUCUAUUACAUUUUAAAUAUUAUCUAAAAUGUAACUGUGAGAUUCAAAAAGGCACAAGAUGAAAACACUGGAUAGGAAUAGCAUGUAAUGGGCUGGGCACGGGGGCUCACACUUGUAAUCCCA